AACGUAGGAGGCAAGCGUUAUCCGGAGUUACUGGGCGUAAAGCGUGCGUAGGCGGGUUGGUAAGUGGGUGGUGAAAGCGCUCGGCUAAACCGGGCGAGUGCCAUCCAGACUGCCAGUCUAGAGGCGGAUAGAGGGGUGCGGAAUUCCGGGUGUAGCGGUGAAAUGUGUAGAGAUCCGGAGGAACACCAGUGGUGCAAACGGCGCCCUGGGUCCGAACUGACGCUGAGGCACGAAAGCGUGGGGAGCGAACGGG
rnacentral:rRNA from 1 species